rnacentral:rRNA from 1 species
GUGAACGCUGGCGGUAGGCCUAACACAUGCAGGUCGAACGGCAGCACAGUAAGAGCUUGCUCUUACGGGUGGCGAGUGGCGGACGGGUGAGGAAUACAUCGGAAUCUACUUUUUCGUGGGGGAUAACGUAGGGAAACUUACGCUAAUACCGCAUACGACCUACGGGUGAAAGCAGGGGAUCUUCGGACCUUGCGCGAUUGAAUGAGCCGAUGUCGGAUUAGCUAGUUGGCGGGGUAAAGGCCCACCAAGGCGACGAUCCGUAGCUGGUCUGAGAGGAUGAUCAGCCACACUGGAACUGGGACACGGUCCAGACUCCUACGGGAGGCAGCAGUGGGGAAUAUUGGACAAUGGGCGCAAGCCUGAUCCAGCCAUACCGCGUGGGUGAAGAAGGCCUUCGGGUUGUAAAGCCCUUUUGUUGGGAAAGAAAAGCAGCAGGUUAAUACCCCGCUGUUCUGACGGUACCCAAAGAAUAAGCACCGGCUAACUUCGUG